rnacentral:rRNA from 1 species
UACGUAGGGUCCGAGCGUUGUCCGGAUUACUGGGCGUAAAGCGUGCGUAGGUGGUUCGUUAAGUCCGUUGUGAAAGCCCCGAGCUCAACUUGGGAAUUGCAGUGGAUACUGGCGAGCUGGAGUGCGGUAGAGGAAGGGUGGAAUUCCCGGUGUAGCGGUGAAAUGCGUAGAGAGUCGGGAGGAACACCAGUGGCGAAGGCGGCUU